UACGAAGGGGGCUAGCGUUGUUCGGAUUUACUGGGCGUAAAGCGCAUGUAGGCGGGGCGGUAAGUUGGGGGUGAAAUCCCGAGGCUCAACCUCGGAACUGCCUUCAAAACUGGCGACCUGGAGCAAGAUAGAGGCAAGUGGAAUUGCGAGUGUAGAGGUGAAAUUCGUAGAUAUUCGCAGGAACACCAGUGGCGAAGGCGACUUGCUGGAUCUUUGCUGACGCUGUGAUGCGAAAGCGUGGGGAGCAAACAGG
rnacentral:rRNA from 1 species